GCUAGUGGGACCUGUGCAGCUCCAUGUCUCUGUGCGAGCUCAAGCCGAGCAACGCACUGGCAAAGUGUCUGGGCAGUAGGCUUGCACCCCAGCUGAGGAGAGAAGACAUCACAGGGGAAAAAGGACUAUUGCUGACUGUGGUCCCCAAGGCUGGGAAGGAAGGAAGACUGACCCUCAAACAGAGAUGCUGGCUUGGGGAAACAGCAAUAAACCCCUUCAAACAUUUAAAAUUUUCUAUUCUAACUGAAAAAUAUUACCUCUUCCCGAGGCAGGACACCAGCUGCAGCAAUCCUACCAGGGAGCCCUUUUGAAAGGACAACUGCAGUUGCACUGGCUGCAGGAGGUUAAGGGUAUGGGUGGUGAGAUUCACAGCACUCCUGAUGCUUCCUCGGAGCGCUUCAGGCAUGUGAAAGCCAAAAUAUCGAAACAAGAACUUCCAAGUGCUUGAAUGAGAUCAGCUUGAUACCCAAGGGCCUGGACUCUGCCCCGGUGGCUUUAGCCCUGGUUUACAGCCAAAGUUUAGAGAAAUCUGUUUUCCAGUUCCCACUCAGAUGCAGCUGAAAUCCCACCAGCGUGGUCCAUCCUGGGAGCGGACUGCAUCUCCGCGCCCUGGGACCUGGCGCCAGCCCAGAUGGCAGGAGCGCUGUGAGAGAGGCCACUCUCACGCGGUUCUCAUCACUUUGGGCAGAGGUUAGUUCGCGGGAUUUGGCAUCUUCAGACCCAAGCCUAGGCAAUUCAAAUCAGACUUAAAUCUGUUGCCUAAACCCAAUUUGGAUCUAAUUGUAAAUGGCUCUGGACAGCCCUGGAGAGCGUGGGAGAUUUUAUCCUUUCUUCCUGAGAAAAGCUACUCCAAAUGCUUGCGUUGUCAGGUAGCCCAUAUGUUUGUUUAUUUGCCUGCUCACUUCCUCAGUCCCCUUCUGAUUCAUUUCUUCAUGGAUAGUUAAGUCUGGCUUCAGUGGCAGGUCCUUCCCGCCAGCAGCACCGUUUGGGGACACCCGUAAGCUGCUCAGCGGGAUGCCUGGUUGCAGGAGGGGGGGCAGGAAGGCAGCAACCUAAAGCUCUUCAAGGCCACCAAAGACACUCGUGGGGCUGCGGAGGAAUUUUCCGCCGAGCAUGGAAAGUUCCCCCCACACGCUUUGGUGUGGAGUCACCUCAGCGGCAUGCACCACGCAGGGGGGGAGGACUGGCCGGCUUUUGAGUCAGAGCCACGCAGAGCCGGAGCGGCUGCGCGCUUUACGCAGCGCCGUGCGUGCCAGCGGUGAGUCUGCCCGAGGUCAGCGCCGCUCACAGCCGAGGACACGACGGGUUGUGGUAAUUUAUUAUUUUAAAAGGAGGGUUUAUUUCAGGAGCUCGGUGUUUUAUUUCCCAUCCUUUAUGACUCAUUAAGUCAGGUGAGCCACCUCUAUUAUUUACCUAUACUUCUGUAUUUCAAGGGCAGGUCCUAAAUUGAUAUUUGUAUCAGCUGAGCACCUUCUGAGGCCAAGCUCCCUCAUUUAUCUGCCUGCUUAGCUAGGGAUUUACCUUGUGUUCAUACCCAUGCUAUAGGACUGACUCCCCGACAGUCAGUUAGAGCAGCAGGUUUCUGACAAUUUGCUUCACAA